rnacentral:rRNA from 1 species
GAUGAACGCUGGCGGCGUGCCUAAUACAUGCAAGUCGAGCGAACAGACGAGGAGCUUGCUCCUCUUACGUUAGCGGCGGACGGGUGAGUAACACGUGGAUAACCUACCUAUAAGACUGGGAUCACUUCGGGAAACCGGAUCUAAUACCGGAUAAUAUAUUGAACCGCAUGGUUCAAUAGUGAAAGACGGUUUUGCUGUCCCUUAUAGAUGGUUCCGCGCCGCAUUAGCUAGUUGGUAAGGUAACGGCUUACCAAGGCGACGAUGCGUAGCCGACCUGAGAGGGUGAUCGGCCACACUGGAACUGAGACACGGUCCAGACUCCUACGGGAGGCAGCAGUAGGGAAUCUUCCGCAAUGGGCGAAAGCCUGACGGAGCAACGCCGCGUGAGUGAUGAAGGUCUUCGGAUCGUAAAACUCUGUUAUUAGGGAAGAACAAAUGUGUAAGUAACUAUGCACGUCUUGACGGUACCUAAUCAGAAAGCCACGGCUAACUACGUG